GUUUCAACUUUCAACAACGCCGCCUCAACUUCUUCUCUCGAAACGUAUAAAGACUCACUCUGGUUGAACGCAUUUGAUCAUCCCCUUCUUCCCAAUCUUUCCUCUCUCUCUCUCUCUCUGAAGCCUGAAGUCUCAUGGAUUUUUCUGUUGUUUCCUCUACUUCAUUUCCUUUCUUUCCCCCUGGACUCCCCCUCAAAACUCACGCUCUGAUACCGUCCCUUAAUCAACCCAGUUCAAACUUCAAUCCCAGAAUCUUUCUCAGAAACCCAUUGAGUCACGUUAUCAGAGCUCAAAAUUCGCUUCAAGCCACUGUCGGGGAUUUCGUUCUUGAAGACGUUCCUCACUUGACGCAUUUCCUCCCUGAUUUACCGUCUUACCCAAACCCAUUGCAAAGGCGCUCAUCUUAUGCCAUUGUCAAGCAGUAUUUCGUCAGCCCAGAAGAUGUGGUGGCACAAAAGAUUGUUGUUCAAAAGGAUAGCCCUAGAGGGGCUCACUUUCGGCGUGCAGGCCCUCGAGAAAAGGUUUAUUUCAAUCCAGACGAAGUGCGUGCUUGCAUAGUGACUUGUGGUGGUUUAUGCCCCGGAAUCAAUACAGUGAUACGGGAGAUAGUGUGUGGUCUAAAUAAUAUGUAUGGUGUUGAUGAUAUACUUGGGAUUGAGGGAGGAUAUAGAGGAUUUUACUCUAAGAAUACUAUGCAAUUGACACCUAAACUUGUCAAUGAUAUCCAUAAACGUGGUGGCACCUUUCUUCAGACUUCACGUGGAGGUCAUGAUACAAACAAGAUAGUUGAUAACAUUCAGGAUCGAGGAAUAAAUCAGGUGUAUAUAAUUGGAGGGGAUGGGACUCAAAAGGGAGCAGCUGUUAUUUACAAGGAAGUUGUGAAACGUGGCCUUCAAGUGGCAGUGGCUGGCAUUCCCAAGACAAUCGAUAAUGAUAUUGCUGUGAUAGACAAAUCUUUCGGUUUUGACACUGCUGUUGAAGAAGCUCAGAGGGCCAUUAAUGCAGCACAUGUGGAAGUAGAAAGUGUGGAAAAUGGCGUUGGAAUCGUUAAACUUAUGGGCCGGUACAGUGGGUUUAUUGCUAUGUUUGCAACUUUGGCAAGCCGAGAUGUGGAUUGCUGCUUGAUUCCAGAGUCUCCAUUCUAUCUUGAAGGCCAGGGUGGGAUUUUUGAAUUUGUCGAACAGCGUCUUAGAGAAAAUGGGCAUGUAGUUAUUGUGCUGGCGGAGGGAGCAGGACAGGAAUAUGUCGCUCAGAGCAUGCGUGCUGUUGGAGAGAAAGAUGCAUCAGGGAACCAGUUACUCCUAGAUGUUGGUCCGUGGAUAUCCCAAAGGAUUAAGGAUCAUUUCACAAAGCAGAAGAUGACGAUUAAUAUGAAAUAUAUAGAUCCAACAUACAUGAUCCGAGCUAUUCCAAGUAAUGCCUCAGACAAUAUCUACUGCACAUUGCUUGCUCAGAGUGCUGUUCAUGGGGCCAUGGCAGGCUAUACGGGCUUCACAGUUGGGCCUGUUAACAGCAAACAUGCUUAUAUACCCAUUUCCCGGGUGACAGAGACUCGGACCAUCAAAUUGACAGAUAGGAUGUGGGCGAGACUUCUUGCAUCAACAAACCAGCCCAGUUUCAUGAAUGUCAAUGAUGAGAUGGAACAAAGAGUUGACAAACAGACCACUGAAGUGAUCAACAAUGCAACGAUUAAGUCAACUUAGAUUUUAGAAGGUUCUAACCAAUUGAACUCUUUAUCUUAGAAGGAUCAACACCUCUGGAAAGGGAAUUAAACUCGUCCAACAAAAGAAUAGCAGCAGAUAAAAGGAUCUAAGAGCGUCAAGAGAUGUUUAAGGCUUCAAACGAGUCAAAAAGUUUGCGAGUUAUUUGGUCCUCAACUCAAUAAUGGUUUAUUCGAACUCAUUGACCAAGAUAAAAUGAGCCAAAUUCAAACUUUAAUUUGGAACUCGCCAACUAAUAAACUCAAACUCGAGCUCGAUCAUACCUGGCUUGUGCCUUUGAUUGUUUAACUAGUUUGCUAGUUGGCCAGUUUAUAGGCUCAAUGAUAUGCAUGCUCUGUAGGCACAUGAUUUAAUUUGUUUAGCCAGCUCAAAAAUUGAUUUGUUUGCAUCAUAUUAAUAGGAUCAUUUAUAACAUGACUUAGAAUUCCUUUUAGAUGUACUUCACUGUAGAUAUAUUUAGUUUAUAGAAGUGUUUUCUCUCAA